rnacentral:lncRNA from 1 species
UGCGCAUCUAAAAUUGCCAGAGCGGCUGGCUGAAAACCCUCCAGGGAUUGCUGCAUUUGCUAUCCGAAAGUCAACUCCUAUGCCUUCGGAGAGUGAGGAAGAUCAGAGAGGGGCAUUUUUGCCUGUUUUAAUGUCGCCAUCAGUCACCAGGCAAGUCUGCAAUCUUUGCUGCAUCCUUCCAUGGUAUCGGCACAAGCAAGGCUAGGAGGAAAAUGAGCUGCAGAAGGAUCAAAUGACCUGCCUGAGGUGCCCUAUCUGUUGGCACAGGCCAGAGCACAUGGUGGAUGCAGGGGCACCCCCUUCCCUUCUCCUCCCCUCCGGCUCUUUGCUGACAGGAUUCUCUCUUGCCUUCUCUGAUGGUACCUGUGCUACGUGCCACAUCCUUUCCCUCAAUGAAUUUCAGGCAGUGGAAGGGGCCGCAGAAGUUCCUUGACUCAUGAGGCGAGGCAUUCAGCGGCCUCGUGACACCUCCCAGGAUCUGCAGUCAUUGGGCUGCACUUGCCAAUAGCAACACCUGGCAAAAAUAGCUAAGAAGCAGAGCGGCCUGGGCUCAGGAGCUGAGCAACCCCUGACUGGCCAGAUGGAGACUGUGUUGAGCUCUGCCCAAGCCCUGUGAUCCUGGAAAACAGUGAAGUUAAGGAGCCAUCUGCAUUCUAGGGAAUGGCCCACUGCAAAAAAUAGCCUUCCUUAUAGGACGUAGAGGACUCAUGAUGUCCCCUCAUUUAUGAUGAGCCAACACACAGCCCUUCCAAAUUCCGAUUCUUUGCUUCAUAACUGAUGAGCUGUUUUGUUCCCACUGGUCAAUCGGAACAACAUUCUUGCUAACCAGAUUUUGGUUCAGCUCUUCUCCCUCCCCAUGUACCUGCCCUGUGUCCUGUCCUCAUCCUGAGCCAGCACACACCCCUCCUUAGUAGCUCCUCCUGCAGCAGGCUGACCUCGGACUCUCCCUGAUCCAUUGUCCAAAUAUAUCACCCUUUCACCCUACAUCCUCACACCCCAUUCUUUCUAGUUUUGUUCAUUCCUCCCUGUGAAAGAUGAACCCUCUUUGCCUAACCCCGGACCUGCUUGCAGACUGCUAUGAUGGCCAGAGUGUCCCCCCUACUGCAAGAGUCCCUUCUG